rnacentral:rRNA from 1 species
UACCUGCAGCCCGAGUGGUGGCCGUUAUUAUUGGGCCUAAAACGUCCGUAGCCGGUUGGGUAGAUGCCUGUGUAAAUCGCACGGCUUAACCGUUCGAACUGCGGGUAGACCGCCCGACUAGGGACCGGGAGAGUCACGAAGUACUCCGGGGGUAGAGGUGAAAUGCGUAGAUAUCUGGAGGAAUACCGGUGGCGAAGGCGGCAUCCUGGACCGAGAUUGACACUGAGGAGCGAAAGCCAGGGGAGCAAACGGG